rnacentral:lncRNA from 1 species
CUCCGCCCCGCCUCCCUCCUAGGUGAAGGAAGAUGAUUUCCCCCCCAUCUUGACCACCCCCCAGUCUUCGCCGCCAAAAACGGACUCCGCCGGCUAUCCUCGGCCCGGUACCAGUUGUUGGAUCCAAGAGAAUUCCGGAACCCAAACGGCUCGCUCAAAGCACUUUAUUGGCAGUGAAACCGCAAGUAACCCGGAGCCCUCGGCGCGACCACGGCUAGAAUCAGAGCCUAAGGCGUGUGAGCUCAGCCAUCCCACGUCUGUCUUCACGCUCAUACGCAAGCCCGACACACCGGGGCUCCCACUUAAUGAAUACUGAAGAGUAGGGCUGUCCCUACCGCUUCUCACUUCCUUGUUUUCAUCUUUUCGUUAUUAUUAAGCGACCUAACACAAUAAACAUAUUACCUUGUUGGUAACCCUUUUGUAAAGUCAUUCUGAAAGUGCUGUUUGACUCCGUUGCUUGGGUAAUAAGCACGCCUGGGUGAUUCUUGCCCCCUACUGGCUGCGCAUCCUACAAGCCUAGUGCUGAAAGCAAACCAAGUAGCUGGAACAGUUGGAGGUUACAGUGUGAACUCUUCCAGAGACAAAGUAUUCGGGGAAAGAAAGGAAAAAGUAGGCACAGAAAGAAUAGGAAACUUCAGUGUUUGUACACAUAGAUAUGUAUUAUAUAUCUAUGUAUACAUUUAUAAAUAUUUUUAAAGUGCUAACUAAUCGCUUUACUAAUUACAUUAUUUCAUUUA